AAUUCAUGCAUAGGAUACUUCUAUAGCAAAUCCUUGAAUCUUUCUCAUGCUUCAUAUAAACUUUCAUCCUCCAUUUCUUGAAUAAAGUUACAUCAUUAUAGAGUUU